GGGCGGACCACGCGAUGCCAGAAUCGGAGCUGACGGUAUGCUAAUUUUUGGCAGAUUGAAAGAUCCAACCGGCUUCGGCCUAUCCUGGUUCGGUCACGUUACGUUCGUUUUGCAUCGGAUGUUUGAGUGCUUCUUCGGAAGUUUCUUACGCUCCAUGUUUAUUUCCUUCCUCGUGGUGGUAAUGGACAGCGUAAAACAUCUUUGCUGGUACCAUAUUAUAUUUGUUAUACGUCCUCCAAUUUAGGAUUUCUUUCAUUUGUUGUAUUUUUGUUUCUAUUGACAACGAAUCACACGCUGUUGACAAAGGAUAUUUUUCUUAUCGUACUGAACAUGAUCAGACGGAGCACUGGUCGAUCAAUCAACUAAUCAUUCGAUUAAUGACAACGGAACAGCUGUCAAUCGUCCACGAAGAGCUCGUUUUACAGCCUGUUACAUCGGACAAUCAUUUUUCCUUCCCGGUAUAAUGAAUAUUCUGUCGAUAAUACGAUUUAUUGGUACGCUUCGACGAUUGUAUCUAAUUUCUACGUUCGCUAACGGACAACUGUACUGUUAGUCGAUAUGAAUCAGGAAUAUAUAAUGGAAUUUGUACAACAAAAUUCGUUCUGGAUUCGCGGUCGAGACAGUUUCAAUAGAAAUUCACUGAUUAUGUAAGUGGUGUGACGGAACCGGCUUAACUUUGAUUUGUGUUGUCGCAUGAAACCCGGUGCCGAUCGUGAAUGUCGAGUUCAUAGGCAUUUGCAUAGAGAGUACGAUCCUCGUGUUGGCCUUGAAGAGGCCGAGGAGAAGGCUGCACGUAAGGGACGGCCGUGAACUUGCCAAUCGCGUGUUCCUCGUGCACCAUCGCUAAUGCCAACGUACGCGUGCAUUUCCCUCUGACCACAAUGAAUGGAAUUUCUUCAAACCAUGCGUGUAUCGUUUUCUUGAUAUCGGUCAGAUAACUUUUUUUGUUUUCUAUCCCAAUCUUUUUUUAACGUCUCUUAAUCGGAAUAUAACAUAUUUGAUAUUGUAAAACUUGGUAAAUCUGUUUUCAUUGAUUUUUUGAUUUUGAUAUGAUAUGAUCAAAAAGGAAGUAAUUUUCUAAAUCUAUACUAACUGUUAAAAUUAAGUAACAGAUGUACGAAGUUUAGUUUAUCGAUAUUAUUAAAAUAUUGAAUUUAAAUGGAUAGCAAGAAUAUCUGUUUAAUCUGAAAAUGAAAUAGAAAUUUUGGUGAUAUGUUGGCCAAAAGGCCUAAAAUUUAAUUUAAUAUUAUACUUUCAGGAUCAAACGUUUACUUAGUGAAGUCGAAAAAAGUUUAUCGAGUAAGCUCAGAGAUCCUGAACUAUCAUGCUGUUUUAUAUUUGAAAUUAGCAUAUUUCAGUUUGAUGGUUUAAUUUAAUGGAUGUAACCGAAGAGUAUUUAGAAUAAAAGAAACAAGUUCGUGCUAACGAUGGAGUAAUCUACGCGCUGAAUCCGUAUUGGUGCUUUAAUGCAAGCAGCUUGUUAAAUCUUUUCAAUUUCUCAAUUAUGAGUCUUUAACGCUCUCUGUUCUAUGCCUCCUAAAGAACUCAAUUACGAAAAAGUCACGUGACACUAAUGAAUCAAGGUAUAACUAGUUUUAGAAUUGAAUCACAUUUACACAAAUUUAAGACUCUAAUGGGCAAAGAGUGUCAGAAGUGACAAUUCAACAUCCAUUACAAACUAUAGAGAAGCUUGGAUACGCGUGAAUGAUUCUUUUCACGAAAAUGCAGUACGAGGGCGGCGAUUCAGAAGAAAGGAGCGAGAGGAGACAGUGCCAGUCCUUGAGAUGGAUAUAAACUUUACAUUCUGCGGUUCAUUGAACUUUCUUUUAAGAGGCAAAUCGUAUUUACACAAAUUUAAGACUUUAAUGGGGAAAUAAUGUUGGAAAUGAGAAUUCAACAUUCGUUACAAAUUGUAGAGAAGCUCGGACACGCGUGAAUGAUCCUUUUCACGAAAAUGCAGUACGCGGGCGGCGAUUCAGAAAAAAAGAGCGAAAGAAGACAGUGCCAGUCCUUGAGAUGGAUAUAAACUUCACAUUCCGUGGUUCAUUGAACUCUCCCUUAAAAGGGUGAGAGGAAAAAACAAGGCGAAGUUUUACUUUUUCUCCUCUGAACCUCUCGCUCUUUCUUCCAAGUCAGGCUAUUAAUAAUUUGCGUCACCGAGUUGUUCACCGUACCUGAUUUGCGAUUCAGCUUUGAUUUUUAGUUAUUCAUAAUACGAGCGAAACCUAUUUAAUCGUGCCAUAACCUUUGGGAAUAUCUUUAAAAGAUACAUAUGACAUUCUUUUAAAAUGACGUAGUUUUGAAACGAGUUUAAAAUUUUUCAUUUCGAUCCUGUGGACUCUUUUUGAAAUAGACUUUUUCAGUUAGUCUCCUCCCCUUUCUACUCUUUGAUAAGUCUCCUUAAGUGGAUAAUAUUCUUCGCUACCUAAAUCCAUUAACAAUUUUGCUAAUGAAUUGGAAGGAGGAAUGUUUGAUAAUCGGCAGAAAGACUGUACGUUAUAUGACUGUAUAUAUCAAACCAGACUGUUUUCAAAGUAUUUGAGAGCCAUUUGUCACCGAGGGGAUUAGAAGAUUUCGGACCGCUGAUCCUCUGUUUCGCAGAAAAACACUUUAGUUUCAUUGUCUAUCGACUGUUCGAAUUUUAAUAGCAUUAUAACGAUGUUAUCGAAUCACGCUUAAUUGCGAACCGAUGUAGCUGGGAGAAAAAAGGAAAGGAGGGACGAACUUGUAACUUGGUCCACAAUUACAUGGUAUUCGUUUCGACGCAACGUUACAUCGUCCCCCCUCCCCUCCCACACUCCCCCCUGAAUUAUAGUAUUACUCGAAGAAUCUCGUAGUAAGCGUUCAUUUUCCGUUCAAAAUCUAAUUUGUAUAUUUAGAAGACUCAACAAUUUCUGUCAGAUUAAUUUAAUCAAGUACCGGUAUUGAGACAUAGCGUCAUCCUUAUCGAAAUUGCUCCGAUAUUCGUAAAGGAAGUCGAUUGAGAUUCGACGACCAGCGUACGAGCAGUAACGAUCAAUCGACAAACAAAUUUGUAAGAUGCAUUCGACACUUAUCGGUGCAUACAUAAAAUUUGGUUCAAGAUUUUGCAUUGACGCCACCAUUGGAUCACGAUGGUUCUUCUCCUGGAACGUGGAAACCGGUUGCGACAGAGCUGCUUUUUAUUGUAUAGCCAUAAAGUAUUAAGAUACGGCAUAAAGCCAUUCUUUUUCCUGAUUCUCAACCGGGCCUUGGGAGAAUCAAGAAAGCUGGUUUGGUAAAACUGUUUGCAAACAAAUCGUGUGGCAUUCUCAGCGUGUAAUUAAUGGAAGAGCUAAGAGUGUUCCUUUAUGAAUACUGUUAUUAACCCUUAAAGGCUAUCGUAGAUGAGAUUUCACCUGGCGAGAAUUUUAUUUUAGUAUUAUCGUCCUUAUUACUGUUGCAAACAAUAAUUUUUCUAGUCUUUAUCUAGUACCGAGUAAUAAUAAAACGUUCGACUCUACUUGUUUGACUUUGAUAAUUUUUUAAUUUAAGAACGAUGAGCUGCGGCAAACUUUCACUUGUUAUGGCCCUUAAGGGUUAAUGGUUUAUGUACUACAUCAUUAUAUGUAACUUUUAUCAAUUACAGGAUAUUGUUAUAUGAAGUAGGAGGAGAAGAAAAUAUUCUUUUAGUAUGAAGCACGUAUGUAAUUUUAAUAAUUAUAUGUAAUUAAGAUGGUUUAAAGGCGCAAUACAAAUGUAUGAAGCGCGGAUAAUUUACUACAGGGCCAGUGCCCCACUACAAGGUCGUAUUCCUUCACGAUCGUCACAGUGUCUACACAUAGAUGCUAUAUUCUCACGACUGGUGACGAGAACGCAUGUAUUCGAGUUUCAGUAGAAGGUAUCAAAUUUAUGGAUCGUAUUUCCAACCUAUGUAAAUUUUAUAAAUUAUACGUGACUGUUAAA